rnacentral:rRNA from 1 species
UACGUAGGUGGCAAGCGUUACUCGGAAUCACUAGGCGUAAAGCGCAGGUAGGCGGUUGGAUAAGUUUCUUGUGAAAGCUCCCGGCUUAACUGGGAGAGGCCAAGGAAAACUGUCUGACUUGAGUGCGGUAGGGGUAACUGGAAUUCCCGGUGUAGCGGUGAAAUGCGUAGAUAUCGGGAGGAAUACCUAUGGCGAAGGCAGGUUACUGGGCCGUCACUGACGCUGAGCUGCGAAAGCUAGGGGAGCAAACAGG